rnacentral:rRNA from 1 species
GAUGAACGCUGGCGGCGUGCCUAAUACAUGCAAGUCGAGCGAACAGACGAGGAGCUUGCUCCUCUGACGUUAGCGGCGGACGGGUGAGUAACACGUGGAUAACCUACCUAUAAGACUGGGAUAACUUCGGGAAACCGGAGCUAAUACCGGAUAACAUGUUGAACCGCAUGGUUCAACAGUGAAAGACGGUCCUGCUGUCACUUAUAGAUGGAUCCGCGCCGCAUUAGCUAGUUGGUAAGGUAACGGCUUACCAAGGCAACGAUGCGUAGCCGACCUGAGAGGGUGAUCGGCCACACUGGAACUGAGACACGGUCCAGACUCCUACGGGAGGCAGCAGUAGGGAAUCUUCCGCAAUGGGCGAAAGCCUGACGGAGCAACGCCGCGUGAGUGAUGAAGGUCUUCGGAUCGUAAAACUCUGUUAUUAGGGAAGAACAAAUGUGUAAGUAACUAUGCACGUCUUGACGGUACCUAAUCAGAAAGCCACGGCUAACUACGU